rnacentral:lncRNA from 1 species
CAGGAACAUUUUGUCCUGGUGGUUCAUCCCUUCCUAUUCCCUGUACCCCAGGCUCUUUUUUGGCCCAUCAGGGUGGCCAAUCAGCACAAGAUUGCCAGCACUGUUUAGCAGGAUGGUUCUGCUCCCACCGAGGUCAAAGUACACCAGAGGGGAGAUGUAAGGAGGGCUGGUUUUGCCCAGAGGGGUCUGUAUCAGGCCUUAAUCCAGAUUAUAUAUGUCCUGUUGGUCACUAUUGCCCAACAGGCAGCCCAGAGCCCAAACCCUGUCCCUCUGGGAAAUACCAGGACCAGACUGGUCAAAGCCUGUGCAAGACGUGCCCAGCAGGAAAGUUCUGUGGCCCAGAAGUCCAAAUCCAAGAUCACAAGGAGACCUUUUCACAUGGAACGAUCAAGCCAGCAGAUUGCCCGGCUGGAUACUACUGCCUCUCAGGAACUAAAACUGCCAAGCAGUACCCAUGCCCCAAGGGCACCUUCAGUAACCAGACUGGGCUGAGCAAUUCCAAGGACUGCAGAGCUUGCCCUGGGGGAAAAUUCUGUGCAGAUGCAGGUCUCUUGACCCCGAGUGGCCCUUGUUUGCCCAGGUAUUACUGCAUUUUGAAGGCACGUGUACCUAAUCCUGUUAAAGAUGAAACUGGAGACUUGUGCCCAGCAGGACACUUCUGCCCACUGGGUAGCAGCAGCCCAG